AAGACUAUACUUUCAGGUAUCAUUUCUAUAGUUUGUAACUCGUGGAAUGUGCUCGAAAGUGUCUAAACUCAGUAACCACAAGGAAAGAGAUUCAGGUUUUUCUCCUGAGCAUGAGAUGAGUUCCUGCAACUUCUGUGUGGAGUUGCUGGUUACUUUUGAUGAAUGUUCUGGGUUCCUUAAAUGGGACUUAGAACAGAGAAAACCCAAUCUGAGUGGU
rnacentral:snoRNA from 1 species